ensembl:lncRNA
AAAAAAACACCAAGCAACUAAUACAACUAAUAUCUAGAACAGUAAACAGGGUCAGAUUGGAUUUCAUGUUGUCUUUAAAAAGGCCAAUAUAAGAUGAAAGUUUUAACGGUGUCUUUAGCAAACGAUACUCCUCAUUAUUAUGGGUUUGUAUAUGUAAAAGGGGGGAGCGCUUAUAUGAUCUGAUGCAUGAAAGCAUCCUGUGAAGAGAUGAGAUGUCAUGACGUCAGAUGUGCUUGUGAGUGUGUACAGUUUGUGUGCAGGCCGUGGAGAAGCUGUGCCCUGUGUGAGGAGCAUGCAGUGGGCCUCAGGGCAGAGGCUGUUUGAUGUGAGCUUGUAAAAUGGAUUAUCUGGUGGCAGGAGAGUGAAUGGGACUGUCUAGCCGCUUGAGGCAGGCUUCACACCAAAAUCCGCCGUGCUGUGAGGGAGCAGGCCACCCUGAAGGACACAGAGCCCGCAGGAGCAAAGAUCUCUCACAAGGGCUUGAUGGAUGACCUUCAAAGGGCCAAGAGACGUGUGGGGUGAUGUCACUUCCCCCCCGCUGUGCCACGAGGGCAUAGCGAGGCUGGGUGAGAGGUGUGCGGUGACCCAGGUGGGUUUAAUCUCCCCCUCACAGAGAUUCAAUAAGUCCUCAUUACCGAUCCUCGGGUCUGGAUUCAUUUGAGAACGUCACAGUUAACAAUGUUAUACAGUGGCCAGAUGAAGAGCUCAUCCCAUCGUAAAUUUGUGUAACUUCAGCCACAGCCUCAUGCUGUGUGGUUAUGGAUGUUGGAUCUGUGUCCUUGUCAGGCAGGAGUUUGGUUCUCCUUGUCCUGAAAUUUGCUUCAUGAUGGUCAAAGGCAGGGAGGGAAAUUACCACCCACUACCAAAUCCAGCAGCAGUGAUGACAAAUUGUCUUGGAUUGGCUUUUGACAAGAUUGUAAUUUAGUUCAAGGGUUAUUUAUUAUAGUAUUAGUUAUAUUUUGAAAAGCAGAAAAAAAGCUUGCAAGAUGUAAGAUUGGCUGUUCUUCCAACUCUUCAUGCAUGUACACUACCAUUCAAAUGUUUGUUUUACUCUAUUUUUGAUAAAAUAAUCAAAAAUCUCACUGACCACAUACUUUUGAAACAC